ensembl:snRNA U6 U6 spliceosomal RNA
GAACUCACUUUAGUAGCACACAUAUUAAAAUUGGAACAAAACAGAGAAUAUUAACAUGGUCUCUGAACAAGAAUGAAGCAUCCCAUAUUUUU